CGGGUGAGUAAUGCCUAGGAAUCUGCCUGGUAGUGGGGGAUAACGUUCCGAAAGGAACGCUAAUACCGCAUACGUCCUACGGGAGAAAGCAGGGGACCUUCGGGCCUUGCGCUAUCAGAUGAGCCUAGGUCGGAUUAGCUAGUUGGUGAGGUAAUGGCUCACCAAGGCGACGAUCCGUAACUGGUCUGAGAGGAUGAUCAGUCACACUGGAACUGAGACACGGUCCAGACUCCUACGGGAGGCAGCAGUGGGGAAUAUUGGACAAUGGGCGAAAGCCUGAUCCAGCCAUGCCGCGUGUGUGAAGAAGGUCUUCGGAUUGUAAAGCACUUUAAGUUGGGAGGAAGGGUUGUACGUUAAUACCGUGCAAUUUUGACGUUACCGACAGAAUAAGCACCGGCUAACUUCGUGCCAGCAGCCGCGGUAAUACGAAGGGUGCAAGCGUUAAUCGGAAUUACUGGGCGUAAAGCGCGCGUAGGUGGUUCAGUAAGUUGGAUGUGAAAUCCCCGGGCUCAACCUGGGAACUGCAUCCAAAACUGCUGAGCUAGAGUACGGUAGAGGGUGGUGGAAUUUCCUGUGUAGCGGUGAAAUGCGUAGAUAUAGGAAGGAACACCAGUGGCGAAGGCGACCACCUGGACUGAUACUGACACUGA
rnacentral:rRNA from 1 species